rnacentral:rRNA from 1 species
UACGAAGGGGGCUAGCGUUGUUCGGAAUUACUGGGCGUAAAGCGCACGUAGGCGGAUAUUUAAGUCAGGGGUGAAAUCCCGGGGCUCAACCCCGGAACUGCCUUUGAUACUGGGUAUCUCGAGUCCGAGAGAGGUGAGUGGAAUUCCGAGUGUAGAGGUGAAAUUCGUAGAUAUUCGGAGGAACACCAGUGGCGAAGGCGGCUCACUGGCUCGGUACUGACGCUGAGGCGCGAAAGCGUGGGGAGCGAACAGG